CCCUAUCGACAAAGUGUUCAUCGAUGGAUGAAUUUUUAGAAAAGGGGGUGAAAAUUUUGCUCGAAUCACCCCAAAAUGAGAGUGUGUGCGUGGCUCGCUGUAUCGCGAUAGAGUUCGGCGUGUGUCGAAUGAAUGUUCAAAAUGGUCGUAGUAGGCUAAAAAUCUGUCUUUCUGUUUUCGCUCGGUCGCUGUACAUUUUCAUACGGGAAUAGUUAGUGAAUUGUGGAUUGCGUCAGUUCGUGGACUGUGUAUUCGAUUGUGGAAUAGUGUUUGCCAAGUUGUUCCAGUUCUAGUUCUAAAAGGAUGUUCCUGUGCCGGCACUGGUAAGUUGUACCGCCAGCGUGAUGACCUGCUGGCGCUGCUUUCGGCUGAAUACGACGAUGCAGAAGCAGGACAAGUUGUUUGGUGUUUUUUUGAAAGCAACGCGGACAUAGGACCACAGUUGCCGGUCCUCAUAUCUAGUAGAGGCUUUUGUGUACAAAAAUCAGGAAGCAGGAAGGAUCAAGAAGCUGGAUUCAAGUGCCGUAGUGUGAAAUACUUCGUCAAAGGAGAAAAGCGCGUGUUUUCUUACAACUGUGCCCACACGUCCCUUUGGCCUACUGCUUCAAAGGUAGGCUACCCUCUACAAUCAAUGCCAUGGCGUCUAACGCGGUCGUUUGAACAUUCUGCAUCCUCUUCCUCUUGCAACUGACUCAUACUUCUUGUUGGUCGCCCUCGAAUACGGCGUAUGAAUUGACGGCCACAUCUUUUUCGCAUCAUUUGAAAGGAACAAAUUAUUGGACAUGCUCGUGAUUAUUCAGUUCUAUGAUGCACCUGCCAAUGGAAGUGAAAGACAAGCCAACCUUAGUAUUGGUUGUUUUUGCUGCUGAUCGGUUCUAAAUCGGUUUGUAUCGCAGCUAACGAUUCUCGAAGAAGUGUCAGUGUCCUAAUCUUCCUUAUUUUCAUUGCUCAACAAACAGGAUAGUGGAAACCGCUCUUGUUGACACUCUACAUAGGCGCUGGAUUGGAUUUUUCUUCGCUCUGCUCACAGUGCGUGACCUUGGUUUAUUGUGGCAUUCUAUCAGUCAACUAACAUUCCCUUCAGGAAAGUAUUGUCCAUUCUUAUGGACGAUUGUUGUAUUGUUUUUCGUAUGUAUAUCUAAUGAAGCAUACUUUUUCAGGCAAAACACCUUCAGUCCUCCGUACACAUCUGAUUUCCGUAAGAAUUACGCCUCAAAUUCGAAGGAGACAAUGUUCUAUCGCCACCUAGCACCUCUACAAACCGUGACCGAUAAAGCUAGCCUUUGAACCUUCGUCUAGGUUACUAUACUGCGCCAAAGUUGAAGGUCGGUCGAAUCAUAAACUAACUCGAGAAUCGCCACUCGAUACGAGAAUAUUAUUGGUUCCAAUAAUACAAGGUUCCAACCUUGUUUUUCGUCGUUUGUUAUACAUUCCAUUUGUAGAUACAAAAUGGAGUGAAAGAUGCAAAAAAACGCGUGUUAAUGCGGUCAAAAUGAAAUCGAGAUCGCACACGAUACUAAACUCAAACACACGAUGUUAAUUUGUUUCGAAACACGCUGGCAAUUCCAUUGAAAGUUUUCGCGUGGACCUUUGAUUGAUACAGGAUAUGAAUCUCUUCGAAACUUGAUCUUGGAAGGGAGCAAAUGUCCUUGUUUAUUUUAUGUUUACGUUGCACCGAUCGAAACUGGCCGCGUGAUAAUGAAAAACGAUAACAAAUCGUGGGCGGUAUCAUGUGGAACAGGAUUAGAAAUCCCUGGCUAAGCUGGCGCAGAGUACGAGCGUUGAAAAUUGUACGCUGCCUGGAUGGAAUGGUAUAGUAUAAACUAUGUAGAUAAUAAGAAUGAAAAAAAAGUAUGAAGCGUAAGAUGAAAAAUAUUGUUACGGGUCUAAAUCAGUACAUGUUAAUUGUUGUCUUUUUACGCUUGCCAUAAAAUCAGGAAAAAUAAAAAAAAUAAUAUUUUAUUUGCUAAAAACAAAAAAUGUUUUCAUUGCACCGUUGGAAAUCAACGGUGCGGAAAGAACGAUUGAAAAUGAACAUUACAGCGUUAAAAUGAACCUUACGAAAACGCGCUCAUGAAAUAAUGAAUCUCACGCACACACUCUCAAAAAACGGCUUCACAAGAUCUGCUGUGAAGCUUUUGUGAAGCCGCUUGUGAAGCCGUGAAUUUUACUCGAAAUUCACUCUCAGGCGAGCAGUUUGUCGAUAG